CAUUUGAUUUUAUUCACUCACACUAAACAUAGUCCUAACUUCAUCUUAACCCGAUUAGAAAUAUACCAAACCCAUUCCGGGCGAGACGACCCGAAGUCUAAUUUAUUUAUUUAUCUUUUCCUAGAUGACGCAAAAAAAAAAAAUUCAACUUUCUAAAAAACUGAGUGAGAGAAAAGCCCAUUGGGGUAGAAGGCCCACUAAUAUUAGGGUUUCCAACUCAGCCUAUAUAUGUAAUGGUGCCGCUUCCCCUCAUUUUUCAGGGAAGGGUUCUGGUUUUCUCUGGAGAAUUGGGCGAACUCAGGCCGAGAGGGGUUUUAUUCAAGAAACUUGAGCCAACAUGAGGGCUAAGUGGAAGAAGAAGCGCAUGAGGAGGUUGAAGAGGAAGCGCCGAAAGAUGAGGCAAAGAUCAAAGUAAACAAUGGCUGUGGAUAGCAAAAUGACUUCUUUUAAUAGUCUUUCAUCUUUUUAUCAGCUUCUGUGAUGGACUGUGGCAGUUGUGAUGUAUGGUGGGAGAUUUUAGCGGGAAGCUUAAUCAUGUUAUCUAUGCUGUUUCUACAAAUUUUAAUUUCAGGUUUUGUAUUUCGAUGAAGUAAGUUUUAGGGUUUAUUGUUGAGCAGAAUUUUUCUGAUCUUGUUUUCUAUUUUAUUUGGAUCUUAGUGUUUCUGAAUCUUAUAUUAAGACAUAAUAAGUUCUUUAA